GUUUUGUUCUAAAGCUAUUGUCCAUUAACCAUCUCUUUGUGGUAUGGAAACUUGUGGUAUAAUUUCAGAGAGAUCCAUACACCAUUCCACAAGUUAUUGUCUGGAAACUAGAAAAAUGCCUAUUUGUGCUCCUUUUUGGCCCCUUAUUCCUGAACUGUUAGGACCAUAACCCCCAAAAUCAAUUCCAACCUUCCUUUUGUGGUUAUAAACCUUGUGUUUAAAUUUCAUAGAUUUCUAUUAAAUCAUACUAAAGAUAUUGUCUGGAAUCCAACUGUUUUUGGACGACGACGACAACGUGAUACCAAUAUACGACCGCAAAAUUUUGUUACGGUCGUAUAAUAACAUUCAAAAGUCAUCUGUACAGAGAAAACUAACUAGUAUUUUUGGAAUGAAAAGUCCCAUAGCAAUAAAAAGAUAACAUGUAAAAGUCAUCUGUACAGAAAAAACUAACUAGUAUUUUUGAAAUGAAAAGUCCGAUAGCAAUAAUUUGAUAUAAAACGUAGAUCAACU
rnacentral:lncRNA from 1 species